CUGAGGCUCCGAUUGCGACGGGCGGCGUGCGGGCACCUGGCCCAGUGGAGGUGUGGGGAUCGGCCAACCUCUCAGGGCCUGCCCGGGUCCAAUGGCGGCAGCGGCGGCGCUGGGGGACCCGGACCAGCAUCCGCAUAGGCUAGGGGACCUUUGAGGAUGUGGCCAUGUACUUCUCCUGGGAGGAGUGGGAGAUCCUUGAUGAAGCUCAGAGACAUCUGUACUGCGAUGUAAUGCUUGAGAACUUGGCGCUUGUGGCCUCACUGGGUUGUUGGUAUGGAAUGAAAAAGCCCCUCUUGAACAGUGUGUUUCAGGAGUGUUUCAGUUCAGAACGCCUAAGGCAGGUCCUUCCACCCAGAAGGACAUGUGUGGCCUUCCACCCACUUGUGACAUGUGUGGCCUGGUCUUGAAAGACGUAUUAUACCUGGCUAAGCAUCAGGCAAUACACCCUAGGCAGAAGCCAUACAAAUGUGAGACAUGUGGGAGAGGCUUCUGGCUCAGUACAAACUCUCACCAGCACCAGAAGGAGCACAGUGAAGAAAAACUCUUCACAUGCAGCCAGGACCUCCUCCAGCAUCAGACCACUCACACUACGGGGAAGCUGAACAGGAGCCCCGCACGCAAGGAGGCCUUCUAACCCAGCACCAGUUGCCAGCAGCAGCAGGCAGUCCAUGCCACACAGAAGCCCUUCAAGUGCAGCAACUGUGGGGGAGCCUUUCUGAAGGCGUUUAUGCUCCUUGACCACCUGAUAACUCACUCCAAAGAAAGACCCUUCAG